UACGUAGGGUGCAAGCGUUAAUCGGAAUUACUGGGCGUAAAGCGUGCGCAGGCGGUUAUGUAAGACAGUUGUGAAAUCCCCGGGCUCAACCUGGGAACUGCAUCUGUGACUGCAUAGCUAGAGUACGGUAGAGGGGGAUGGAAUUCCGCGUGUAGCAGUGAAAUGCGUAGAUAUGCGGAGGAACACCGAUGGCGAAGGCAAUCCCCUGGACCUGUACUGACGCUCAUGCACGAAAAGGCGUGGGGAGCAAACGAGG
rnacentral:rRNA from 1 species